ACUUCAGAUUUAAUCUGAAGAAGAGAUCUAAUUGAAAGCAUCAAAAUUUAGAUUUAAUCUAAAUUUUAGAUCUUAAGAACAUGAUUCAUGUAACCUAGCUCUGAUACCAGUUGAAAAAAAAUAUAGGGUAUGCAUGCUAGAUCAAUAAUUUUUUUUUGAUGCAGUGGAAGAAAAACUAAUCUAGCAUGCAUCUACGAGAUCUCAUCUCAUGGGACCAUAUCUAGCAUGUUCUUAAGAUCCAAAGCAAAAAGUAAAUCUAUCAAAGAUAUAAACAUGAAGAUCUUAUCAUCACUUUAGUGCAGAUAGUUAUUCACUGUGAUUUGAUGAUCAUGGAUAUCUCU
rnacentral:lncRNA from 1 species